UACGUAGGGGGCAAGCGUUGUCCGGAUUUAUUGGGCGUAAAGAGCGUGUAGGCGGCUUUGCAAGUCCGUUGUGAAAACUCGAGCUCAACCUCGAGACGCCGGUGGAAACUGCAAAGCUAGAGUCCGGAAGAGGAGAGUGGAAUUCCUGGUGUAGCGGUGAAAUGCGCAGAUAUCAGGAAGAACACCCGUGGCGAAGGCGGCUCUCUGGGACGGUACUGACGCUGAGACGCGAAAGCCGUGGGA
rnacentral:rRNA from 1 species